CGUUAAUUUGAUUUACGGAUUCCUCCCUUGUUUUGCUCCCGAUUCCAGCGCUAGCUGAUUAAUCUGAUUGAAGAAAUCACAUAAAAACUUCCUCUCAGUUUACCCUGGCUAUGAAGUUUCUUCAUUUCCCUCUUCCCCUGCAGCCCGACAUCCUCUUUUAAAGUGAAGGAAGAACCAUAAAAACCGUCGAGGCUGGCAGCGAAAUUCCUAAAUUAAAUAGAGAUUUCAAUAUAGUUUUGGAUAAUUGAGGCAUAAUCAAUAUUUUUACUUUUAAUAAU
rnacentral:lncRNA from 1 species